rnacentral:lncRNA from 1 species
UCUUCCAUUCCCAGCAUUCCAUCCAAACCUUCUUUGUUCCCAUUUCAUUGCCUCACCAACUUCCAACCUCAAUCCAACACUUUUCUUUUCAACACUCUUAAACCACAAAACUCCAUGAACCAAUCUAUUUUCAUCCCAAACAGCAUCCUUUCCUUCAAUUUUAGCAACUUCUGUUUGAAUAACAACAUCUACAACCACAUCACCUUCUCCACUAUUUUCAUUUUCCUUUGAAAAUAUCUUCUCCCAUCUUUGCUCAAGUGUUAGCUCAUAGAACAUUGACAUCUUCAUCUGCUCCUUUAAAUUCAUUCCUUCUUUCACAAACAUAAAAGGACAAUACCAGUUUCCAACAAUCACUGAUCCAGAAUGAUCAUAAGUCAAUGGAAAGUUGAAAUUUGGUAGCUUGGAACGCAAGGAAUCAUUUGAACCUAAAGCUUGGCUUAAUUGGUAGUUGCGGGGAGUGCUAGCAUGAAGUGCCCACCCUUCUUCCCUCAAUAACCCAGGAGGAAUUCCAUUUGAAGCGAUAGAUUUUGCUUGAAAACCAUAACUCUUCUUGAUUAUUUCAAACUGCUGAUAAUCAUUGAAGGGCUUCAAAGCUCUUGGUUUAACAUCAUGGACAAAACUACAACAUAAACAUGUGGUCUUGUCCUCUUCCUUUGAACUUGUACUAGCUUGGCUGAAAUCAAUUCAAAUUUAACAAUUAAUUUUGAAAGAACCACUAUUACUUUAUGAAUCUAUCUUUUCUCUUUCUUUAACCAUGAAAGAUAAUUACCAACACAAAUAUAAUUAUGUCUCAUAUUACAAUACUCUCAGUUGGGAUGACAGGGAAAAACUUGUACAAAAAUUACGAGAAAAUGAUUAAAAUUAAAUAAAUACAUACCCUUGAUAUUUCCCCUCCCUUCUUAUAACAUAGUAGCGAUUAGAAGACAAUGGUUGAUUCAAUACUGGAAUGAACAUAGCUUCUUCCAAAAAGGUGCUUUCACCUGCUGAUAAAUUGAUGGUUAAAUUUUUGUUCUGAGGUAAAGGAAAAUUCUUGAUUCUAUUGUCUUUUGACAAACCAAAACAAGAGUAAGUUUGAGCUACUUCAUCCAAUAUCACAAGAUAACUUGAAUUUGGU